AGUGAACGCUGGCGGUAGGCCUAACACAUGCAAGUCGAACGGCAGCACAGUAAGAGCUUGCUCUUACGGGUGGCGAGUGGCGGACGGGUGAGGAAUACAUCGGAAUCUACUUUUUCGUGGGGGAUAACGUAGGGAAACUUACGCUAAUACCGCAUACGACCUACGGGUGAAAGCAGGGGAUCUUCGGACCUUGCGCGAUUGAAUGAGCCGAUGUCGGAUUAGCUAGUUGGCGGGGUAAAGGCCGACCAAGGCGACGUUCCGUAGCUGGUCUGAGAGGAUGAUCAGCCACACUGGAGCUGCGGCCCGGUCCAGACUCCAACGGGAGGCAGCAGUGAGGAAUAUGGGACAAUGGGCGCAAGCCUGAUCCAGCCAUGCCGCGUGGGUGAAGAAGGCCUUCUGGUUGUAAAGCCCUUUUGUUGGGAAAGAAAAGCAGCAGGGUAAUACCCCGCUGUUCUGACGGUACCCAAAGAAUAAGCACCGGCUAACGUCG
rnacentral:rRNA from 1 species